GGUUGUGUGGUGUAAUGGUAAGCACUGGAGACUCUGAAUCUCCCGAUCUGGGUUCGAUUCCCAGCACGACCU
rnacentral:tRNA from 1 species